CACCGGCCUCCUCCCGCCUCCUCCCUGGACUUCUGAGCAGCCGGCCCCAGGCCCCCAUCUCCCUCCCAGCGGAUAUAACAAGUCACAAACAAACCCGAUCUCCAGCUGUGGCCUAGAGGAGGCCAAUCAAUAAUGGCCCUAACGCGAUUACGGUGAAUUGGCUUGGGGAAGAAGCAGAUGCAGUGUAGAUGGGACAGGAGGCAGCCAGGGGGACAGAGCACGCUGAGAACUGUGCCAUGCUGCACGCAGCGCCCACACCGGACGGUUCACCAGGCUCUGCUCCACAGGCUGAUUAUCUCGAGCCUUUGGUCACCAUGACAGGACGCUGCCUACACAGGAAGCAAGACUGGAUCGGGACUGCAUUAGCAUGGGGCUCGGUCGGGACUGAGGGGCCCUUGCAGAAGGGUGGGAAAGCUGAGCUGAGGGAAACCAACCACCACCCGCUGAUGAAUAUGGAA
rnacentral:lncRNA from 1 species